GACGAAGGAUGCAAGCGUUAUCCGGAUUCAUUGGGUUUAAAGGGAGCGUAGGUGGCCCAGUAAGUCAGUGGUGAAAUCUCCUCGCUUAACGAGGAAAUUGCCAUUGAUACUGCAGGGCUUGAGUACAGUUGCCGUUGGCGGAAUAUGACGUGUAGUGGUGAAAUACUUAGAUAUGUCAUAGAACACCGAUUGCGAAGGCAGCUGACGAAACUGUAACUGACACUGAGGCUCGAAAGUGUGGGGAUCAAACAGG
rnacentral:rRNA from 1 species